rnacentral:rRNA from 1 species
AUUGAACGCUGGCGGCAGGCCUAACACAUGCAAGUCGAACGAGUGGCGGACGGGUGAGCAAUGUCUGGGAAACUGCCUGAUGGAGGGGGAUAACUACUGGCAACGGUAGCUAAUACCGCAUACCAUCAGAUGUGCCCAGAUGGGAUUAGCUGGUUGGUGGGGUAACGGCGCACCAAGGCGACGAUCCCUAGCUGGUCUGAGCGGAUGACCAGCCACACUGGAUCUGAGACACGGUCCCGAUUCCUACGGGAGGCAGCAGUGGGGAAUAUUGCACAAUGGGCGCAAGCCGGAGGCAGACAUGACGCGUGUAUGAAGAAGGCCUUCGGGUUGUAAAGUACUUUCGGCGGGGAGGCGUUACCCGCAGAAGAAGCACCGGCUAACUCCGUGCUAGCAGCCGCGGUAAUAC